GUGAGCGAGAGAACUCUCGUUAAGGAACUCGGCAAAAUGGCCCCGUAACUUCGGGAGAAGGGGCGCUGGUCGCAAGAUCAGCCGCAGUGAAAAGGCCCAAGCAACUGUUUAUCAAAAACACAGGCAUCUGCAAAAUCGUAAGAUGAAGUAUAGGUGCUGACACCUGCCCGGUGCUGGAAGGUUAAGAGGAGAGCUUAGCGCAAGCGAAGGUUUGAAUUGAAGCCCCAGUAAACGGCGGCCGUAACUAUAACGGUCCUAAGGUAGCGAAAUUCCUUGUCGGGUAAGUUCCGACCUGCACGAAAGGUGUAAUGAUUUGGGCACUGUCUCAACGAGAGACUCGGUGAAAUUAUAAUACCCGUGAAGAUGCGGGUUACCCGCGACAGGACGGAAAGACCCCAUGGAGCUUUACUGCAGUUUAAUAUUGGGUAUCUGUCAAGCAUGUACAGGAUAGGUAGGAGCCGGAGAAGAUAGGACGCCAGUCUUAUCAGAGGCGCUGUUGGGAUACUACCCUUGCUUGACGGAUGCUCUAACU
rnacentral:rRNA from 1 species